rnacentral:lncRNA from 1 species
GGUCUUGGGAUAUUUGGGGUUAAGCGUCCUUGGGUUUGAAUAGUACUGGGUUGGGUGACCUCCCGGGAAGUCCAAACUCAGGAGCUUACAUUUGGUAUCAGAGAGGUCUCGGGUCCGACUCUGUUGGUUGGCUAGGGGAAUCGCACCACAUGUUGAUUGACAUCUGGCUGGUCCAGUUUGCUCCCGCUGGGCUCGACCCGAGGGGUAGGUGUGAGACACAAAAUCCCUAGGCCCCAAAAUGGAGCCGGAAGGGCGCCACGUGGUAGUGGCCGAAGCGAGAGCCAAACAAGCGUCGAAAUGGAGUCCGAGAUGGACCCGAGAUGGAGUCCGAGAUGGAGUCCGAGAUGGACCCGAGAUGGAGUCCGAGAUGGAACCGGGACUGAGAUCAAGUCCGAGACCGAAUCCGAAGUCGGAUCCGAAAUCGGAUCCGAGAUCGAGCCAGAGACUAAGUCCAAAUACUAAUACGGGUCAAGGGGUGAAAGCCCAAAGCGUGCGUCUCCCAGGGGGGGUUCCAAAAGUAUAGUAGGGAGAGUGUGGGGGUUGGAGCCCAGUGGAGCCAGUUUGGCCAGGAAGGGCCAGUUUGGCCCAGGAAAGGCCAGUUGGGCCCAGGAAGGCCAGACCCAGUGUUGGGUGAUGAGCUGACCACUGGGAAGUCCAAGACUAGAGUGAAUACGGACCGACAAGCGGGGUAGCUUGGUGAAGUGUUCAAGAGCCGGCUCUAGUUCCCCCGGGAGAUCGACUGGCCGAUGCUCCCAGUCCAAGUGUGGGUGGCACUACCUACUUGGAUACCAGGCGUGGCUCAACGGAACCUCGCUCUAAGCCCAUGGCUAGAGCACCUAAGGGCAGAAGGCGAGGAGAGUACCCAGGUGGCUCGCGUAAGGCCACGGUGUUCCGAAAUGUUGUCCCAAAGGCCCAGACUGUGGAAAGGAGGAGGAGCAGUCCUCUGGGGUAAUGACCAAGGACACAGUCGUGUGGUGAGGAAGUCCCAGAGGACCGUGGGACUUAGUGGUCGGGCCUGUGGGUCUCGAUCCAGUGGCAGUGUUGGCAAACACAGCCAGGGGCAGAAAGGGACUUAGUGGGGACUGACAGAGGGAUAUUGGGGAAGGCUAUUCCCCUUGUCGGUGGGCAUCCUAGGGAUGCUAAGGAGUGGAUCUGAGAUGACCACUCACGGAUGGUUUGCCUAGUCUUGGAGAGCCAAGACGGUGAUGCAAGUGGUAUUGGACUACCAGUGUGGCAAAGGUGAUUGGGCAUGGCCUUAGCGUAACGGGCUGCUAUGUCGGGUGUACCUUUGAGUGUCGGUCAUGGGAUUGGACACGUGGAGCACUUGGACAAAGUGCAAAUGUUGAGUGGCAUGGAUGCCAUUCUCGGGGCUAGCAAGUCCCAAGUCCUGGAUUGGACUUAUGGAGGUUGUGAAUGAGACUCCUCCAAGUGGUCAGAGGUGUGGUUAAGUGACUAAAGUAGAAUGGAAAAUUUAGUUGCUUACAGUAGGGUGUCAAGAGAGCGAGGCUCUCAGGAGAGUUGUGGCUCUCAGCUUCCGUUCACGAGGGCGUGAACUUGCAGGGAAGCGUGGUGGAUUGUAAGCAACCAAAGGGAACGACUCGAGAGACGAUCCAUAGGGGUUCAAAUAUAGAGGGAAAGGGCCCAUGAAUAAGAGUGCACCCCCUUUUCCAAACGGUUAAGGGUCUUGGGAUAUUUGGGGUUAAGCGUCCUUGGGUUUGAAUAGUACUGGGUUGGGUGACCUCCCGGGAAGUCCAAACUCAGGAGCUUACAUUUGGUAUCAGAGAGGUCUCGGGUCCGACUCUGUUGGUUGGCUAGGGGAAUCGCACCACAUGUUGAUUGACAUCUGGCUGGUCCAGUUUGCUCCCGCUGGGCUCGACCCGAGGGGUAGGGUGUCAAGAGAGCGAGGCUCUCAGGAGAGUUGUGGCUCUCAGCUUCCGUUCACGAGGGCGUGAACUUGCAGGGAAGCGUGGUGGAUUGUAAGCAACCAAAGGGAACGACUCGAGAGACGAUCCAUAGGGG